rnacentral:rRNA from 1 species
AGCGAACGCUGGCGGCGUGCCUAACACAUGCAAGUCGAACGUGAAAGGGAGCAAUCCUGAGUAAAGUGGCGUACGGGUGAGUAACACGUAGGUAAUCUACCCCAGAGUCUGGAAUAACCUGCCGAAAGGCGGGCUAAUACUGGAUAGAGCGACGAAAUCCGUAAUUGGGUUUUUCGGGAAAGGGAGGAAGCAAUUCCCUUCGCUCUGGGAUGAGCCUGCGUCUCAUUAGCUAGUUGGCGGGUAACGGCCCACCAAGGCGAUGAUGGGUAGCUGGUCUGAGAGGAUGAUCAGCCACACUGGAACUGAAACACGGUCCAGACUCCUACGGGAGGCAGCAGUGGGGAAUCUUGCGCAAUGGACGAAAGUCUGACGCAGCCACGCCGCGUGAGUGAAGAAGGCCUUCGGGUUGUAAAGCUCUGUCGCCCGGGACGAAAAUCCAUUUGGUGAAUAGCCAGAUGGACUGACGGUACCGGGAAAGGAAGCACCGGCUAACUCCGUGCCAGCAGCCGCAGUAACAC